rnacentral:rRNA from 1 species
UACGGGGGGGGCGAGCGUUGUUCGGAAUUAUUGGGCGUAAAGAGCUCGUAGGCGGUUCGUCACGUCGGCUGUGAAAUCCCGAGGCUCAACCUCGGGUCUGCAGUCGAUACGGGCGGACUUGAGUACUGCAGGGGAGACUGGAAUUCCUGGUGUAGCGGUGAAAUGCGCAGAUAUCAGGAGGAACACCGGUGGCGAAGGCGGGUCUCUGGGCAGUAACUGACGCUGAGGAGCGAAAGCGUGGGGAGCGAACAGG